rnacentral:ncRNA from 1 species
ACACGCUGGAAAGAGGCGGGCCGUCUGGCGCCACCUCGCCGAAGGAGCAAGCCCGGAGUUCACGGGCGGAAUCUCUCAGGCGCCGAGACAGCGGGGG